rnacentral:rRNA from 3 species
AAGGAUCAUUAUUGAAUG